CACCCCCUUGGGUAGUGACAGUUUUGAAAAGCCAAGUAAUGACCCCCUUUCAGCUGGAGGGGGCACUAACUGCAUCACCAGCCAGCAGGGGAAGAACAUGUCCCUGCUGA